AGAAGCGGUGCGGUGCGGUUCCCUGUGUUUGGGAGCAGCAGCCAGCAGGCUGCCAGAGAUCCAACUGCGCCUUGCAGCGCACAGAAGGAUGCGAUGGGGACAGACUGUCCUUUCUGCCAUGCAAAAGGACGGAGCCUGCACAUCCAUGGAGUGGUGCUGGGCGAGGGGGGAAACGGAAAGCCUCCGCAGAAGCUGAUGUGAGCGGCCUUCCAGCAAAGCGCAGCCUUGCAGAAAGACAAGGCAGAAGUGCCCAGUGUGGCACAGCACCGGAGAGAGAGAGAGGUGCUGAGCCAAAUGGAAAGAUCUACAUGAAAGUGAUGCAGAAAGUCCUUUCGGAGAGAGCUCAUCUCCAGGCUGGAGGGCUUCCUACAACAGCAGGUUCCAGUGCACGGAGAAGACCUUCCCCUGCUGUGUGUCCCUGCUCUGUCUCCAAGUCCUUGGCUGGAUGUAAACGCAAGGCGCUUGGAAGAAGAGAAACCAACAGCAGCACAGCUGCCUGCUAACAAAAGAGUGAGGGGUCAGAGCAGAGACAGCAUGCUGGCUCCAGCAGCACACCCUGGGCCUGCUGCAGCGCGGAGCUCCAAGCUAAGAGCAAGAAGACGACGACAAAAAGAGAGGAGAGGGGAAUUGAUGAAAGCUGCCCUCAGAGCUGCUGCUGCACGUGCAGAGUCCUCCGCAGUGAACAGCCUUGUGGAGAUGAUGCAGAAGCUGCAGCUGAAGGACUGAGAGGCGGAGUGUCAGGAAGCAGCGGCUGCAGUGCACGGCGUUACAGGGCAGCGCUGUGAGUGCCGCCCAACUUGGCACUCCAACUUCCGACGUAGUCAAUAAAAACCAGUUGCAAUUAG
ensembl:lncRNA